CACGUCAGCGCGAUUUGCUGACGUGGACACAAAUCGCGUUCUCUGAAGCGCGAUUUGUUGCCAUGUCAGCAAAGCACGCUGACGUGG
rfam:Gossypium raimondii Chr04_contig_1129, whole genome shotgun sequence.